AACGAACGCUGGCGGCAGGCCUAACACAUGCAAGUCGAACGGACCCUUCGGGGUUAGUGGCGCACGGGUGAGUAACGCGUGGGAACGUGCCCUUAGGUACGGAACAACAGUUGGAAACGACUGCUAAUACCGUAUGAUGACGUAAGUCCAAAGAUUUAUCGCCUAAGGAUCGGCCCGCGUUAGAUUAGAUAGUUGGUGAGGUAAUGGCUCACCAAGUCUACAAUCUAUAGCUGGUCUCAGAGGAUGAUCAGCCACACUGGAACUGAAACACGGUCCAGACUCCUACGGGAGGCAGCAGUGAGGAAUAUUGGACAAUGGGCGAAAGCCUGAUCCAGCCAUGCCGCGUGAAUGAUGAAGGCCUUAGGGUUGUAAAGUUCUUUUAGUAGUGAAGAUGAUGACGGUAACUACAGAAAAAGCUCCGGCUAACUUCGUGCCAGCCGCCGCAGUAA
rnacentral:rRNA from 1 species